GAUGAACGCUGGCGGCGUGCCUAAUACAUGCAAGUCGAGCGAACAGACGAGGAGCUUGCUCCUCUGACGUUAGCGGCGGACGGGUGAGUAACACGUGGAUAACCUACCUAUAAGACUGGGAUAACUUCGGGAAACAGGAGCUAAUACCGGAUAAUAUAUUGAACCGCAUGGUUCAAUAGUGAAAGACGGUUUUGCUGUCACUUAUAGAUGGAUCCGCGCCGCAUUAGCUAGUUGGUAAGGUAACGGCUUACCAAGGCAACGAUGCGUAGCCGACCUGAGAGGGUGAUCGGCCACACUGGAACUGAGACACGGUCCAGACUCCUACGGGAGGCAGCAGUAGGGAAUCUUCCGCAAUGGGCGAAAGCUUGACGGAGCAACGCCGCGUGAGUGAUGAAGGUCUUCGGAUCGUAAAACUCUGUUAUUAGGGAAGAACAAAUGUGUAAGUAACUAUGCACGUCUUGACGGUACCUAAUCAGAAAGCCACGGCUAACUACGUG
rnacentral:rRNA from 1 species